rnacentral:tRNA from 1 species
UGUGGUGUAGCUCAGUGGUAGAGGACUUGCCUGGCAUGUAACAGGCCCUGGGUUCAAUCUGGGUUCAAUCCCCAGCUCCACAG